GACGAACGCUGGCGGCGUGCCUAACACAUGCAAGUCGAACGGAAAGGCCCUGCUUUUGUGGGGUGCUCGAGUGGCGAACGGGUGAGUAACACGCGAGUAACCCGUCCUUGACUUUGGGAUAACUUCAGGAAACUGGGGCUAAUACCGGAUAGGAGCUCUUGCUGCAUGGUGGGGGUUGGAAAGUUUCGGCGGUUGGGGAUGGACUCGCGGCUUAUCAGCUUGUUGGUGGGGUAGUGGCUUACCAAGGCUUUGACGGGUAGCCGGCCUGAGAGGGUGACCGGCGACCUUGGGACUGAGAUACGGCCCAGACUGCUACGGGAAGCAGGAGUCGGGAGUAUUGCACAGUGACCGGAAGCCUGAUGCAGAGACGCCGCGUGCGGGAUGCCGGGCUUCGGGUUGAAAACAGCUUUCGCAUGAGACAAAGCGUGAGUGACGGUAAUGGGUCAAGAAGCAACGGCUAACUACGUG
rnacentral:rRNA from 1 species